rnacentral:rRNA from 1 species
AUGGCGCUGCUCUCCGCCUCCUCCAUCCUCAGUCGCCGCCCCCGGCCUCGUCGCUCCGCCUGCCCCCGCAGAGCAGCCUCGAGGCUAUCCGUCGGUAACAAGUCCUCCUCCACUUCUCUCAAAACUCAAUCCUGCAACCUUUUUUCACCUCGCUGUCGUACGAACAAUGCCGAAGCUCAGUUUUGCCACCCUCCGGGCUGCGUCGAUGUGGCUGCCAUAAGCGAUGACCCGAUCAAGGAGUGGAUCCUCACCGAGGGGAAGGUCACACAGAUCACAGGGACCAGCUCCAUUGGGGGGGUUGGUUCGUUACCAACUGGCGGUUAUUUUAUCAUCAUGGAGUUUAUUCAAUUUGGUCGUUCUAGGGGUGACCAGACUGGGAACUGUUCAUGUCACCCCUGGCCGCUGGAUCAUGAUCUGGCGGAGGGGAGAGGGGGGCAAGGCACCAUACUGUUCAUGGAUGACAUGCCCAUGGCAUAUCACUGGAUCUCAAUCCUCUCUUAUUGUCAGUCAGCUCUAGGAAGGAAGCUCGCUGAAAUGCAUAAACCCGCAGAAUCUGUCAAGGGAUAUGGUUUCUAUGUGGAAAAUACUAUUGGAAGGUAA